rnacentral:rRNA from 1 species
AGACCCGAAACCCGGUGAUCUAGCCAUGGGCAGGUUGAAGGUUGGGUAACACUAACUGGAGGACCGAACCGACUAAUGUUGAAAAAUUAGCGGAUGACCUGUGGCUGGGGGUGAAAGGCCAAUCAAACCGGGAGAUAGCUGGUUCUCCCCGAAAGCUAUUUAGGUAGCGCCUCGUGAAUUCAUCUCCGGGGGUAGAGCACUGUUUCGGCUAGGGGGCCAUCCCGGCUUACCAACCCGAUGCAAACUGCGAAUACCGGAGAAUGUUAUCACGGGAGACACACGGCGGGUGCUAACGUCCGUCGUGAAGAGGGAAACAACCCAGACCGCCAGCUAAGGUCCCAAAGUCAUGGUUAAGUGGGAAACGAUGUGGGAAGGCCCAGACAGCCAGGAUGUUGGCUUAGAAGCAGCCAUCAUUUAAAGAAAGCGUAAUAGCUCACUGGUCGAGUCGGCCUGCGCGGAAGAUGUAACGGGGCUAAACCAUGCACCGAAGCUGCGGCAGCGACGCUGAUGCGUUGUUGGGUAGGGGAGCGUUCUGUAAGCCUGCGAAGGUGACCUGUGAGGGUUGCUGGAGGUAUCAGAAGUGCGAAU